GGUAUGGGCUUUGCUCAUUGUUGAAGGCUGUACGGUGACCUAUAGUGGUUAAUCAUGUUAAUGUUUGUGUCAUUUUGGUCUCUUUGUGGGUAGUUGUCUCAUUAGCAAUCAAACCACAUCUUCUUUUUUAUAUAUUAUGAUUAAUGAUACUGUGAAAUUUGGUAACCUUUAUUUUUUAUAUGCAGCAUAUAAAAAAGACAAUACUUGUACACA
rnacentral:lncRNA from 1 species